GAUGAACGCUGGCGGCGUGCCUUAGGCAUGCAAGUCGGACGGUCCCGACAUUUGUCGGGAUAGUGGCAGACGGGUGAGUAAUACGUAGGAAUCUACCUUUUGGUGGGGAAUAGCUUGUCGAAAGACAAGGUAAUACCGCAUAAUCCCUCCGGGGCAAAGGAUAUAACUAUCCGCCGAAAGAGGAGCCUGCGUCCUAUCAGCUUGUUGGUGAGGUAAUGGCUCACCAAGGCGUCAACGGGUAGCUGGUGUGAGAGCACGACCAGCCACAAUGUCACUGAAACACGGGGCAUACAUCUACGGAUGGCAGCAACCGGGAAUAUUGCGCAAUGGGCGAAAGCCUGACGCAGCGACGCCGCGUGGGGGAUGACAGCCUUCGGGUUGUAAACUCCUUUUAUAAAGGAACAUAAUGAGGGUACUUUAUGAAUAAGCACCGGCAAACUACGUGCCAGCAGCAGCGGUAAAACGUAGGGUGCAAGCGUUAUCCGGAUUUACUGGGCGUAAAGAGUAUCGUAGGCGGUCGGAAAAGUCAUUCGUCAAAGCCCGAGGCUUAACUUCGGAAAGGCGGGUGAUACUUUCUAACUAGAGCAUAGUAGGGGAUAUUGGAAUGUCUGGUGGAGGGGUGAAAUCCGUUGAGAUCAGACAGAACACCGAGGGCGAAGGCAGAUAUCUAGGCUAUUGCAGACGCUGACGAACGAAAGCUGGGGUAGCAAAAGGGAUUAGAGACCCCUGUAGUCCCAUGCCGUAAACGAUUUCUACUAGCUGGUCCGAUUUAAUUGGACUGGCGUAAGCUAACGCGUUAAGUAGAACGCCUGGGGAGUACGGCCGCAAGGCUAAAACUCAAAGGAAUUGAUGGGGAGGCGCACAACCAGUGGAGCAUGUUGUUUAAUUCGAUACGAAGCGUAGGACCUUACCUGGGUUUGACAUCCUAUCGUACGUGUCUGAUGAAAGUUAGACUCCUUCAGGUAGGACAGCUGCUGCAUGGUUGUCGUCAGCUCGUGUCGUGAGAUCUCUGCUUAAGUGCAGUAACGAGCGCAACCCUCAUCCUGUGUUGACUUUCACAAGAGACUGCCUCAGUUAAACUGGGGAGGAAGGGGAGGAUGACGUCAAAUCAGCACGGCGCUUAUAUCCAGGGCGACACACAUCCUACAAUGGUUAGGACAAUGGGUUGCAAAGCGGUAACGCGGAGCUAAUCCCUUAAAACUAGCCUCAGUUCAGAUUGAGGGCUGCAACUCGCCCUCAUGAAGUUGGAAUUGGUAGUAAUCGCGGGUCAGCAGACCGCGGUGAAUACGUUCUCGCCUCUUGUACACACUGCCCGUCAAGCGAGGAGAGUUGAGAGUGCCCGAAGU
rnacentral:rRNA from 1 species